UACGAUCAAGCGCCUUUGGAACGUUUAUGAUUUUGCCCCCCCCAAUCUGAAAAAUGGAUCGACGCCCCUGGCGCUUAAUACAGGUCUUUCUAAGCGCUCAGUUUUAUUAUAAACUAUGAAUUACCGUAAAAAAUAAAAAUGUAAUCUUAAUAAAUGAAAAAAAUAGCGAAACUUUGAUGUGCACCUACAUAUAGACCAACUCACAUUUGCUAGACAGAUUAUCUAAUCUGUCUAGCAAAGAUAGACAUUAAAAAGAUGGGUCUUGAGUCUUAAAUUGAUUGAGUUGGCAUUAUGUAUGUUUGAUGGCAAUGGAUUCCACAGGAUUGGAGCAAAAGCAAAGAAGGCUCGACCACCAUAACCAGUAUUUAUUUGUGGUCUUAGAGUUGGCUGCAAGGUAGUUGAAGAACAAAGUGGUCUGAGUGAGCUAGAAGAGUGGAGAUAGAUAAGGUUAGAGAGAUAUUCAGGAGCUAGGCCAUUGAUUAUUUUAUGAGAAGAACUUUGAAAAUGAUGCGCUGGUAUACACUGGAAGCUGGUAUACGCUGGAAGCUAAUGAAGUGAUUUCAGAAUUGGUGUAAUAUUUUCAGAUUUUCUUGAGAGAGUAACAAGCCUUGCAGCAGUAUUCAGAAUACUUUUGAGUUGAUGUAAAUAUGAGAGUGGGAUUCCAGAAAGUGUAGAAUUGCAAUAAUCAAGGUGAGAGGAUACAUAGGCAGGAGUAAGUUUUAACAGUUUUAUAUUGAUCAAGUUGAGUAGCUUCCUAAUUUGUCUGAAUCUUGGAAAUACCCAAGGAUGCAAACUUACAUACAUAUUCUUAAUAUGCCAUUGAAAUUUAAGGUUCUUGUCAAUUGUCAACACAUACCAACUUACUACAGAUCAAAGGACUAUUGUUAGUGCUACUAGUGGUUGAUUCUUGUAAGUUAACAGUUGCAUUGGUAUAUCUCUGAUAAUAAUGAUAAUAUAGGUAUAUUUACCCAGGGAAGCCACUUCUGUUCUGAAAACUGUUCUCCCAGCGGGCCCUGCUAUUAUUAUUACCCCAGCUUUAGCUUGGCUGCCUAGGCACUCAAGGAUUCAAGGAAUUUCUUCCUACCGGGUACCCAUUCACCUCACCUAGGUUGAGUGCAGCACAAUGUGGAUAAUUUUCUUGCUGAAGGAAAACACGCCGUGGCUGGAUUUGAACCCACGACCCUCUGUUUUAAAGUGAGAAUACUAAUCCACUGGGCCACAACGCCUCAUAACGCUCUGAUGAGGGGGUUUGUUAUUUUGUGAAUGAACAAUGACGUUUCAAAUAUAUUCCUGUAUCUUCUACAAUGCUCUAAAACUAUUAGUAGGUCUUUAACACUUUAUAAUGAUGUUGAUUGUUCUGAGUUUAUCUGUGUUGGCAAAGACUGCAGUGGAUAGCAAAAAUUAUGAGGUAAAUUUUUCAAUGUGUACAGGAGUUGAAUUGUGAGGUAAAUUUUUCAAUGUGUACAGGAGUUGAAUUGUGAGGUAAAAUUUUCAAUGUGUACAGGAGUUGAAUUGUUGAAUUUCUACUAACUUUAUAUUACAUUACAGAACUGAUAAUUUACAUGAGUACCUGUAAACUUUUUUGGUCACAUUAAUACAAUUCCAUAUAUCAUUCACAAAAAAGGAAAUAUUCAGCUCUGAAUUGUGUUAUUGUCAAGAAAUGAAAAAGAGGAAAUAUUAAAACUACUCUGAUAGAUAAGAGGUUUUGUGAGAUUGCCACAUGGCAUAAGCAUAAUCAUGUAAUGAAAUCAAAACUGGUCAGAUAUUUCUAGUAUAAUGAAAUCCAGCUUUGGAAAUGAAAAAUCAAAGAAUCAGAAGACACAUAGGCCUAUUGACAAACAUUGUCACAUAAAUACCAUAUACACACAUUUGUGACAUUUUUGAAAACAUAACAAUGGAUCAGAAGUUGCAAUACAGUCAGAGGGCUUUAUAUUGGUAAAAUAGCAGUCACAUGACAUGGUCUUAUGAUAUAGGAUUGGUAAUUUCUUUCCAAAAUUAUUAUGUAAAAUGAAAGAUGUAAAUUUAUAAAGAAAGAAUCCAACAGUCACAUGACCUGGUAACAUGAUAUUACAAAUACUAGGUGAUAAAGAAAGUACAAUGAUCUGAAAUAUAAGCUUAGAAUUAUCGUGUGAAACAUCAUGUCAGUGCUUUGACAUGGUUAAUGAUAAAAUCAGUGAAAACAAAAUGAAAACAAGUGAAGUAGAUGGAUCAGAAAUUUCAGUCAGAAAUCCUUAUAAGAGAAUGCAAGAUAUCAAAAAGUAUUUGUGUAUGUCUGACAGGGAGAGUUAGGGAAGUUUAGGCGAGGUCCAUCAUGGCGACGCAUGUUCAAGAGCAAAGAGGCCGCCGCUCAUCAUAGAAAGGACAAAUUACCGCUAGACCUGACGGCCGGAGAACGAAUGGAGGCAUACGGUCCUUCCCCAGGCUCUCCCACACAGCGAACUAUGAUGUAUACAAAUCAGAGAGGGGCGGUGGUCCAUGGUGUACCUGUUCUACCAACCUCUCCACCCCUUCAGAGGGGUGGAGCCGGUGGAGGGGUGGUAGUCCCACCCGGGAAUACAUCUAGCAAUACAACAAAUCUUAAAACAUACUCAUGCUGACAGAAUGUAUCACCAUGGAGACAGGGACCAAGCCAUCCCAUCAUAAGCUGACCUUUGCCCCUAGCAAGGUCAUAGGUCAAAGUUCAGGACCUUAUAUGUUAUAGUUUGUCUUCAACUGCAGCUCACUGUAGCCAUUAUUAGCCAUUAUUUUAUAUAACCAGUGACAUAUAUAGAAGCUAACAUGCAGUCUCAUUAAAGUAUUUUUAUGUCUGCUUUUGUAGACAUAUUUACCUCAUGAAAAACAUUGUGUACUAUGAAAUCCAAAUAUAUCUUUCCCAUGGACCAUGUAACACAAAACAUUUAUAUGAUUGAUUGUAUCAAUGCAGUCAGUCAUCAAAAAGCGAAUAUGAUUGAUUGUAUCGAUGCAGUUAGUCAUCAAAAAGUGAAUAUGAUUGAUUGUAUCAAUGCAGUCGGUCAUCAAAAGGUGUAUAUGAUUGAUUGUAUCAAUGCAGUCAGUCAUCAAAAAGUGAAUAUGAUUGAUUGUAUCAAUGCAGUCAGUCAUCAAAAAGUGAAUAUGAUUGAUUGUAUCAAUGCAGUCAGUCAUCAAAAAGUGAAUAUGAUUGAUUGUAUCAAUGCAGUCGGUCAUCAAAAGGUGUAUAUGAUUGAUUGUAUCAAUGCAGUCGGUCAUCAAAAGGUGUAUAUGAUUGAUUGUAUCAAUGCAGUCAGUCAUCAAAAAGCGAAUAUGAUUGAUUGUAUCGAUGCAGUUAGUCAUCAAAAAGUGAAUAUGAUUGAUUGUAUCAAUGCAGUCGGUCAUCAAAAGGUGUAUAUGAUUGAUUGUAUCAAUGCAGUCAGUCAUCAAAAAGUGAAUAUGAUCGAUUGUAUCAAUGCAGUCAGUCAUCAAAAAGCGAAUAUGAUUGAUUGUAUCAAUGCAGUCGGUCAUCAAAAGGUGUAUAUGAUUGAUUGUAUCAAUGCAGUCGGUCAUCAAAAGGUGUAUAUGAUUGAUUGUAUCAAUGCAGUCAGUCAUCAAAAAGCGAAUAUGAUUGAUUGUAUCACUGCAGUCAGUCAUCAAAAAGUGAAUAUGAUUGAUUGUAUCAAUGCAGUCAGUCAUCAAAAGGUGUAAAUGAUUGAUUGCAUCAAUGCAGUCAGUCAUCAAAAAGUGGUGACUGAUUGAUUGUAUCAAUGCAGUCAGUCAUCAAAAAGUGAAUAUGAUCGAUUGUAUCAAUGCAGUCAGUCAUCAAAAAGUGAAUAUGAUUGAUUGUAUCAAUGCAGUCAGUCAUCAAAAAGUGAAUAUGAUUGAUUGCAUCAAUGCAGUCAGUCAUCAAAAGGUGUAAAUGAUUGAUUGCAUCAAUGCAGUCAGUCAUCAAAAAGUGAGCUUUCUGAUCAAUUAUUAUGCUUUGUGUUACUGGCCUUUUGAGUCCAAAGACUAGUUUACUUAGAAUGGUAGUUUACUUAUAGUAAGCAUGUCACCUUGUCUAUUUUCACUCCAUUCUACAGCAACUUUGGCAUGGUCUAGUCAGCUUGGACAAAUGACAAUGAACUCUCUCGUUUUAAUGUCACAUUAAGAAAGGAACUAUUUGGUAUUCCAUGAAAACUGACCAACGAUAAGUCCUUAUUCAUCAUAUGAUAUCUGAAGCACUCAUCAUAACUUUACCUAUUUAUGAUAUCUGAAAGUGAUUGUGAUCAAAAGAAGUAAUGUUUGGAUUUAUCUUGAUUAUUAAUGGUAUGAUGAGAAAUGACUCACAUUUUUUAGUAUUAAUAGCAGUUCUUAUGACAAAUGCCCCCAAAUAUGUUUAUGAAUAUUGAUUUCAAUAUCACACUUUUAAUAAUAAUCCUUAUACCUCUAAUGGCCCUGUUUCUAGUUCAUAAAAUCACAUUGUUACUCCAUCUAACAGAUUAUAAUUAUUUGUUCUAGACAAGUCAGAAUUGUUGCAUAUUUGAAAUUAGGUUUUCACUAUAUAUCCUUCAAACUUGGGGGGGGGGGGGAUUCAUCUAAAAUUGAUGUUUUUUUUUAACAAUAGAGUGUUGACUAUGAAAGAAAAUGUGAGAAAAGAAGGAAGCGAUACUUUAAUCUGAACAGUUACGUCUUGUAAUGCAUCCAAAGAGUUUGAUUUUGUUGUUUUAGAAAGUAACUACAUUCCACUAAAAUAGUACAUGUAUGCACUUGCCUAAUAGAAGAGCUCCUUUGGUAAUUUAUUGUCAAUCAGAAAUUGUGUCAGUGGCCUGGGAUUAAUGAGGGCAUUUCAAGAAAUCUGCAGGCAAUUGCAUAUGUAUUAGGAGUCACAAAUACAGUAUGUCUUUAAUUAAUUGCAAUUGCCAUUGAUUUCAGUUGAUAUGCUUCUCGUAACAAUUACAUAAUAAUAAUUAUAGUGAUGUCUUAUUGAGCGCAAACACAGUCGAGAGACGCUCAUGGCGCUAGCACAUUUCUUUUGGAAAUACAUAACUACAAAUCUAAAUGUAAAUGAAGUAAAAAAGAAAUCUUAAGUUACUUAAGUACAAUUUUGCAUCACUCACUGGAAUUUCUAGCUACAUCCUGGUGGGGCCUGGUGCCCUCCUGCUCGCUGCUCCUUUCACCGACAAUUUAGGGGGCAAUCUCGGUCAGCUCAGAACUCACAGGAGCUCUAGCAAAUAAGAGCACCAGCCCCCAUAGGGGCUGACUAGCUAGUCAGACCAGUGAGUGAUGAUAAAUAGAAUGUACUUUUCAUGUCUACAAAACAAUGUUAUUUCUAAUAAAUAUGGAUUUAGUUGUCGAAGGCACUACAGGUUGAACAAAUAGGUCUUUAGAAGCACUUUAAUGCAGCGGAGUAACUGAGGAAGUUGAUUCCACAACUUGGCCGCAGUAUAUGAGAAGUACCUAUGCCCCCAAGAAUGUCGGGUACGAGGAAAUAGAAGCAAAUUGUCAUUUCCAGAUCUCAAAGUACGAAUUGGAUUGAAGCGUAUCUUUAAUGUAUUGUGGCGACAUCCCAUGAAUGACUCGAAUCUUACCCUUCUGAAGACCUUGUUAACGCGAUAACUUUAGUUGAACUUAACCUAGGCUCAUAUAAUUUGGUGUGUAUGAUACUAGCAAUUCUAUUGAUUUUGAGGUCACAAGGUCAAAGGUGAAGUCGCCACCUUCCACUUUUCUUGCUAGACCAAUAACUCCAUUUUCUGUGUUACAGGCGGGCGUAUUAUGUGCUCGCCUUAGCAACACUCUGUUUCUUUUUAUUAAAUCUCCAUUUUUUUUCUGGGGUGGACUGGACCUCUAAUAAUAGACAUUUGUCAAUUUGAACACAUCCUCUUUUUCUCAUGCUAGAGACUGGGGGUGAUGUACUCCGAGAGAUAAAAUCAAUUAUCAAUUUCAUGAGAGAUUAAUUCAGUUCUUUGUGAUUUUAUUGGUCUACUGCUUGGUGUAUUGUGAUAUAAUUAUCAGAUUUUUCACUAUUAAGAGAUAAAAUCAAUUUGUAAGAGAGAUUAAAUGAUUUCAGCUGUCAUUGCAUUAUUCCACAAGGCAUAAUUCCUGUAGUUAUAUAAGAUUAUCCCAUAGCUUAUGUAGUAUUUAAAUGAUACUGACCCUAAACAUGUAGUGCCAGAUGUUGCAGAGAUAAUGCCAGUUUAUAAAUACUUGCAUUUGCUAAUUUAUAUAUUUAUUUAGAUUUAACUGGAUGAAAGAGUCUAUUUACAUCUAGAUAAGGAGGUUUACAAAAUGAGUUUAGUUCAUGCGCAUUUAAGUCAGUAGCUAAAAUCUUCAGGCAAGUCCUGCCAUGUUCCUGUGGGAGUUACCAUAAACAGAAACAGAAGUAACACAGAAGUAACUAAAAGUUUAGAAAUACUUGCUUCAUCAGAAUACUACACAUUUUCCUUUUGUGAAAUAUAAAUUUAAACUACCUCUGCUUACGUGUUCAUUUGUCAAUUUCUACAUUUUCAAAAAUAUGAAAGUGUUUGUCUCUAGAAGUAAAUUUUUUUUUUUUGAAUGCCCACCAAUAUCAACUCAUUGACAAAUCAGAUAUCCUCAUAACACAGUUCUCAGUAAUUCUGUGUUCUUAGUGUACUAAAUAUAUUUGUGCUCCAUGAUAGAAUCUUAGGGUUAAAAAAAAUAUCUAUAGAUAAUAGUAAGCUUCAUUAAAUACACAUGCUGCACUGUGCAGAAAAAGCUUGGGGAACAAAUGCUCAGCAUGUAUGUAUUUCUCAUCUUUCAAAUUGGUUUGGGGCUGAAAAUUGUGUUUUUUAUGAAACUUUUUAAAUAUUGCGUUCUUCCCAAUUUCUGUGAAAAUUUUCCAUGUUCCUUUUAAGUACAGGCUAGACCCCAUAGAAAAUGGACCAAACCUUGCUUUUUUGUCUCGCCUGCAUAGCAGAGCAAGAGUAUAGGCGCCGCUUUUUCGUCGGCGGCGUCAACAUCAAAUCUUAACCCAAGGUUAAGUUCAUGAAACUUGGGACAUAAGGGUAAUCAAGUAUUACUCAACAUCCUGCCUUGGUUUCAGGUCACAUGUUCAAGGUCAAAGGUCAUUUAGGGUAAAUGAACUUAGACCAUGUUGUGGGAAUCAAUGUCGAAAUCUUAACCUAAGGUUAAGUUUUUGAUAUGUCACCAUAACUUAGAAAGUAUAUGGACCUAGUUCAUGAAACAUAAACUUCAGGGUAAUGAACAUCCUGCCUGAGUUUCAGGUCACAUGACCAAGGUCAAAGGUAAUGACCUUUGACCUUGGUCAUGUGACCUGGUCAUGGUCAAUGAAUUGUGGGCAUGUUAGGGGUAUUUGUUGAAAUUCCAUCGUAACUUUGAAUUUUUAUGGAUGUAGUUCAUGAAACAAACAUAAGGGUAAUCAAGUAUAAAUGAUCGUUUUGCACACAUCUUAGAUCACAUGAUCAUGGUCAAAGGUCAUUAUUAUCAUAUGAAUGUUUUCUUUUGUGAAUUGUGAAUAAUUAUUCACAAUUAUUCAAAGUCAGCACUGAUACAAUAUCGAAUCGCGUAAUGCACGCGAGAUUGCCAUAGGCGUGCAACUUGUUAUAUAUUGACAGUUUGUCAAUUCAUGGCUGCUGAAUUUGAAUCUAAAUGAUACAAUGUAUUGUAACCUUGAUCCCGUCUUACAAAGAGUUACGAUUGAUCCAAUCAAUCAUAACUCUAUGGAAAUGCAUCAGUGUCAUAAUUUUUUCUAUAGGAAAUUUGCACAAUGUCCUUUGUAAACAAAGAGAAGCACUUUUCAUGAAAACAAUGAAUGCAUCAUAGAAAACAUUUCAGGUUGACGUUGCUGGCCGUCCAUAGUUGCGAUUGAUUGGAUCAAUCGCAACUCUUUGUAAGACAGGGGCCUGGGGUGUUUUCUGCAUAUUGCCGGUUUGCCAAAUUUAGUCCCUUUAAAUAAAUGACAAAUCUUACAUUGACUAACACAUUGUAAACCACAGAUACUCCUUCAUGAACAGAUUAUUUAAUGUUCAGAGUUGGAUUAAUAUUUAUCUUAUCGGGAACAACCAUAUUUUCAUUUAUUUGAAAAGAAGUAAUAUUUAUUAGAAAUGAUUUUCUUGUGAUACCAGAUGGAAAAUGACCAUGAAACCAAAUAAACAUUUAUACAUAAUUUUGUCCAUUAUCAAUCGCACCUCACCUAGUCACAUACAGGCCAUGAUAGUGCAAUUGACUUCUUUAAUAGACGUUUCCCCUAUUUCAAUGCUCAACUUUGUUCUCAUCAUGAUUACACAAUUUAGAGCUUUUUUUGCAACGAAGCAGUGUGAUCGAACAUGUGAAUUAAUUUACAUCUGUUCUCAGCUUUUGUUGAAGUGUGUACAACUUUGUGUUGCGUUUGAUAUUAAAGUCAUUUGUGAGACACAAAUGUCUGAGAUGAUAGCAUCUUAUCAACAGUAUGUACACAAACUAAUAGGGAAUGUUUGAAUACCACUUAGAAAUGCUAAAUGGGAUUCUAUUAGCAUCUUUUCAUCGACAAACUCAGAUUUCAGUAUCUGUGUACAUACUGAAAUCCGAGUUUGUCUAUGCUAAUAGAAUCUAAUAGGGAAUGCUUGAAUACACUGAGAAAUGCCUAGUAGGAUCCAUGCUUGACACUGUGUGUAAGUAGACUAAUGGCUUUAUAAAAUAAAGUUGUCUUAUGUCAUAUCUGUUGAUGAAUUCACUUCAUUCCAAACCAAGCAUUUACUCUCAAACCUCUUAUGUUGCAUAGACUGGAUAUAGCUUUGAUCAAAGUGUGAAAUAGUCUCCAUAUUUUGUGUAAAUAAAGAAUGAUAUAUAGGAGCUACUACAGAGAAAGCUGUUUACAUGGUGUACAGUGUUAUAGCUUUUAGUCAAAUGAAGAUCAUAUUGAGGAGUUAUUGGCGAUCUUCUUGAAGAAUUAUUUGUAGUAUCAACCAUUUACAUGUACCUUUUCUAUUUGUAACUCUAUGUGAGGAAUAUUCUUGUCUAUGCAAAUAUUUAAUAUGGAGUGAGAUAAUGAAUACAAUAUCACGGAGCUGUUAUUUAACAGAUGUUUUGACAAGGUUAUCAUGUAAAGAGUGGAAUAUCUUUUUUUAUUUGAAUAUGUCAAUGCAUUACGUUUUAAUGAAAAGUUUGUUUUGUAGAGAAAAUGAAGGGACAACUCAUCGUCUUCAGACAAAGCUCCAAUCUGUCCCAUUCAGUGAGAGGUUGCUAAUACAAAACAGUGCCAAGGCAAAAAACUUGGUAGCCAUUUUCCCUUUUAAAAAAUUGUUUCAAAAAAUAUGUGAACCACUUUUAAGACUUAGAAUAUACCAAAAUACAUUAUUAAUGUAAUGCUACAGUCAUACCACUGAUAAUCAUUAUAUUUCACUUUCAUGGACUAGGGACUAAAUCUCAACAUUCCUUAAGGUAUUUAUGUAGAUACCAAAACAUGGUCAUUGACCUUUGACAUUGAUCAUGUGAUUUGAAACUCAUGCCAAGAUCAGUGACACCUGUACGUCACAAUAACAGGCCCUUUUCUCAUUCAAAGUUAUAAAAUUUCAAAAACUUAAUAGGUAGGCAACACAAAACAGCCCCCUGUAAAUCAACAAGUGACAUUCAAUAUUUUUGUGGGAAAACCUGCAUUGUAAGCUUUAUAGUGAAUAAAAGCUAAUUACUUGUAAAGCAUUGACUUCUAAUUCUGAGUAUUUGUUGAUUUCAAUGCAUAAAAACUCUGCAUUUUUGUUAUUAUGAUGCAUGUUUCACAUUGUAUCAUAUAUACCUACAAAUGGAAUAGAGUCAUUUCAUUAUGUCCCACCUUUUAUGUGGCAUAGAUCUUAUUUAUUUGCAUUUAUAAUAAUUGCAACAUACAUGUAGUUAUGACACAACAUUCUUUGGAAACCUCAUUUUGUCACAUAUAACACAUAUAUGUUGAUGUAUGUUUUAUUUUCUUGUAAGUUUAAUGAAAUAUGGGAUCUUGUAAUUUUCUUCACAAAAGAAAUGAUGGAAUAAUGUUUAAGAGAUUUCCAUGUAAAUUGAAUGUAUAAUGCAUACAGAAGUAAUUUUCAUAUCGAUGUGAUUCUUGUACAGUAACAGAGAAUAAAAUUGUGAAGAUUACGAUUGUGUAAUAUCUAUUCCUCUAUGUAUCACAACUGAAAAUAGAAAAUGAAAAAAAAAAAAGAUAACCAAAUAAACAAACUUAAGUUAUUCUUUA